rnacentral:lncRNA from 1 species
GGACACGCGAAAGCCUGUCACAAGGCCGCAGAGGUCGAGCCGAGUCUCGGCAUUCGCCACGAGCGGACUUGCGCAUGGAUAUAUUCACGUUUUUCGCAGGUGUACAUGUGGAGCGAUGGGAACACAAGCAUCUGUAUUUGUGUGGUCAUAGAGGUUAGAGCAGCUAGUGGAGAAUCCGGGCCAAACAUCUGACGUGUGGAACCGCGGAUGCUGGCUGCAAGAGCCGCCAGUUCGUUUCCCGGACUCUCAGCAACGUCUCGGCUGUUGGGCACUUUGGACCGUCCUUUUGCUCACGCGAGACCAGCCGCCUGUUAUAAAUCGUGUCGAAAAACGCAAAGGCCUAGGACUUAAUCGAGAAGUGGGCUCUACUCGUGCGACUGAAAACGGAGUCACGCUGAGCAAGUCGGCUCGACGAAGGCUGUGAACAACGAUGAGUCUAAACCAUGUUUAGCCGGAAGGAUUUGUCUGGGAAGGUACGGAGGCGGAUGAGCUCUCCACAUGGAACUAAGCGCGGAGCUCUCUGUCGGUUCGCCACGACGAUUCCACGAAGUCUGCGUCUUCAGUGCCAAUUCCCGUUUUCAGCCUCGCCACAGCCACCACCGAUUGCUCUCUGGACAGCUUUUCAGCGGAAGAAAACGUAGAAUACGGUGUCGCUCCUCCGAACACGCCGUCAGUGCAGUGUCUAGACCCCAGAGAGUGGGGAAUCUGCGAGUUCGCCAUCCUGAAGGAACAACCAUUUGUCGUUCUCACGGGGCGUGGCCGACACGAUUACACGGCAAAGAUAGAACCCAGAGCACGCUCCCCUUUCACGUGUGGAGCGUCUUUCUUGUCUCGCCUGUGCCAACCUGCAGUUUUUUUGGAGACCGGAAAAUCCGUGGGACAUGCCGAGCCCGAACCUUCCGUCCGCAGAAAUCGAUCUCCUAUCGAC